GAUAAACGCUGGCGGCGCACAUAAGACAUGCAAGUCGAACGGACUUAACUCAUUCUUUUAGAUUGAGAGCGGUUAGUGGCGGACUGGUGAGUAACACGUAAGCAACCUGCCUAUUAGAGGGGAAUAACAGUGAGAAAUCAUUGCUAAUACCGCAUGAGACCACAGCACCGCAUGGUGCAGGGGUAAAAACUCCGGUGGUAUGAGAUGGACCCGCGUCUGAUUAGGUAGUUGGUGGGGUAACGGCCUACCAAGCCGACGAUCAGUAGCCGACCUGAGAGGGUGACCGGCCACAUUGGGACUGAGACACGGCCCAA
rnacentral:rRNA from 1 species